rnacentral:rRNA from 1 species
GGGGCACGGCACGCAAUGACGGUCACAUAAAAACAAAUGAGAGGAAACGCAAAGACUCAUAAAAGAGUAAGAAGUAUCUAGCGUCAAAGGAAUCUACAGUAACACUAGAACAAUACACGUCCCGCGUUAUUAGUUUUCGCACAGUCCGUCGCUGAGUCACGGUAAACAGUUCGAUCGACUCGACGUCCCGGAACAGUUUCCGCCCCAUCAGCUUCGAUGGUUGGGGUAUUGGCCUACCAUUGCAACAACGGGUAACGAGGAAUUAGGGUUUGAUUUCGGAGAGGGAGCCUGAGAAACGGCUACCACAUCUACGGAUGGCAGCAGGCGCGCAAAUUACCCAAUGCAGACACUGUGAGGUAGUGACGAGAAAUAAUAAAGCGGGACUUCUGUUUCGCUAUUAUAAUGAGGAAUAACCAAAGGUCAUUCCGAUUAGCAACUGAUGGGAAAGUCUGGUGCCAGCAGCCGCGGUAAUACCAGCGUCAGUAGCAUAUAUUAAAAUU